rnacentral:rRNA from 1 species
CACGCAGGCGGUCUGUCAAGUCGGAUGUGAAAUCCCCGGGCUCAACCUGGGAACUGCAUUCGAAACUGGCAGGCUGGAGUCUUGUAGAGGGGGUAGAAUUCCAGGUGUAGCGGUGAAAUGCGUAGAGAUCUGGAGGAAUACCGGUGGCGAAGGCGGCCCCUGGACAAAGACUGACGCUCAGGUGCGAAAGCGUGGGGAGCAAACA